rnacentral:lncRNA from 1 species
GGGGAAGGGAUGCAUGACUGGGGCCUCCGACCAGCUGCGGAGGAGGAAACUACCUCGACCUGCUCCAAGCAAUAGUAUUUCAGUUGGAUACCACAGCUGCAACCAUUCCUGCUUCUUAAGCUUCGGCUGGGUUCCAACAAAGACAGCCUAGCAGCAGAUACUUGGAGCGACUUGCUGACGACAGUGCAACCUGCAACAUGCUGUUUUCUAUUAUAAUCAGGACUUGCUUCAGACAAUGGCAGGAGAGGUGGCAGCAAUCCCCUCCCCCCAAACCCAUGACCAUUGGCACUUUCCAUAAAAUCCCUGCACAAUUUGCCCAGGAUCUGACUUGGCAAGCCUUUUCUUCUCCAACAUGCUUCACGCAGAUGAGCUUAAUUGGAUUCAAGUCCUCCUGUGAAAGUCACUGGUAGAGUAUCUGGGCUGUAAACACAGCAGAAGAAUGAAUACAAAAAGCAAAAUAAACCCCUGCUAAGGACUCGAAAAUAAACA